rnacentral:rRNA from 1 species
CAAGGCUUGACAUACACGAGAACGGGCCAGAAAUGGUCAACUCUUUGGACACUCGUGAACAGGUGGUGCAUGGUUGUCGUCAGCUCGUGUCGUGAGAUGUUGGGUUAAGUCCCGCAACGAGCGCAACCCUCGUUCUAUGUUGCCAGCACGUAAUGGUGGGAACUCAUGGGAUACUGCCGGGGUCAACUCGGAGGAAGGUGGGGAUGACGUCAAAUCAUCAUGCCCCUUAUGUCUUGGGCUUCACGCAUGCUACAAUGGCCGGUACGAUGGGCUGCGAUACCGUAAGGUGGAGCGAAUCCCAAAAAGCCGGUCCCAGUUCGGAUUGAGGUCUGCAACUCGACCUCAUGAAGUCGGAGUCGCUAGUAAUCGCAGAUCAGCAACGCUGCGGUGAAUACGUUCCC